GGGAUAACUCGCGGAAACGUGAGCUAAUACCGAAUGAAGUCUUUCGCCGCCUGGUGAAAGGAUGAAAGAUGGCUCUUGAGCUAUCACUUACAGAUGGGCCCGCGGCGCAUUAGCUAGUUGGUGGGGUAAAGGCCUACCAAGGCGACGAUGCGUAGCCGACCUGAGAGGGUGAUCGGCCACACUGGGACUGAGACACGGCCCAGACUCCUACGGGAGGCAGCAGUAGGGAAUCUUCCGCAAUGGACGAAAGUCUGACGGUGCAACGCCGCGUGAGUGAAUGAAGGUCUUCGGAUCGUAAAACUCUGUUGUCAGGGAAGAACAAGUUGUGUUCUAACAGGACAUGACCUUGACGGUACCUGACCAGAAAGCCCCGGCUAACUACGUGCCAGCAGCAGC
rnacentral:rRNA from 1 species